GGUUAAGCGACUAAGCGUACACGGUGGAUGCCCUGGCAGUCAGAGGCGAUGAAGGACGUGCUAAUCUGCGAUAAGCGUCGGUAAGGUGAUAUGAACCGUUAUAACCGGCGAUUUCCGAAUGGGGAAACCCAGUGUGAUUCGUCACACUAUCAUUAACUGAAUCCAUAGGUUAAUGAGGCGAACCGGGGAACUGAAACAUCUAAGUACCCCGAGGAAAAGAAAUCAACCGAGAUUCCCCCAGUAGCGGCGAGCGAACGGGGAGCAGCCCAGAGCCUGAAUCAGUGUGUGUGUUAGUGGAAGCGUCUGGAAAGGCGUGCGAUACAGGGUGACAGCCCCGUACACAAAAAUGCACAUACUGUGAGCUCGAUGAGUAGGGCGGGACACGUGGUAUCCUGUCUGAAUAUGGGGGGACCAUCCUCCAAGGCUAAAUACUCCUGACUGACCGAUAGUGAACCAGUACCGUGAGGGAAAGGCGAAAAGAACCCCGGCGAGGGGAGUGAAAAAGAACCUGAAACCGUGUACGUACAAGCAGUGGGAGCACGCUUAGGCGUGUGACUGCGUACCUUUUGUAUAAUGGGUCAGCGACUUAUAUUCUGUAGCAAGGUUAACCGAAUAGGGGAGCCGAAGGGAAACCGAGUCUUAACUGGGCGUUAAGUUGCAGGGUAUAGACCCGAAACCCGGUGAUCUAGCCAUGGGCAGGUUGAAGGUUGGGUAACACUAACUGGAGGACCGAACCGACUAAUGUUGAAAAAUUAGCGGAUGACUUGUGGCUGGGGGUGAAAGGCCAAUCAAACCGGGAGAUAGCUGGUUCUCCCCGAAAGCUAUUUAGGUAGCGCCUCGUGAAUUCAUCUCCGGGGGUAGAGCACUGUUUCGGCAAGGGGGUCAUCCCGACUUACCAACCCGAUGCAAACUGCGAAUACCGGAGAAUGUUAUCACGGGAGACACACGGCGGGUGCUAACGUCCGUCGUGAAGAGGGAAACAACCCAGACCGCCAGCUAAGGUCCCAAAGUCAUGGUUAAGUGGGAAACGAUGUGGGAAGGCCCAGACAGCCAGGAUGUUGGCUUAGAAGCAGCCAUCAUUUAAAGAAAGCGUAAUAGCUCACUGGUCGAGUCGGCCUGCGCGGAAGAUGUAACGGGGCUAAACCAUGCACCGAAGCUGCGGCAGCGACGCUUAUGCGUUGUUGGGUAGGGGAGCGUUCUGUAAGCCUGUGAAGGUGUGCUGUGAGGUAUGCUGGAGGUAUCAGAAGUGCGAAUGCUGACAUAAGUAACGAUAAAGCGGGUGAAAAGCCCGCUCGCCGGAAGACCAAGGGUUCCUGUCCAACGUUAAUCGGGGCAGGGUGAGUCGACCCCUAAGGCGAGGCCGAAAGGCGUAGUCGAUGGGAAACAGGUUAAUAUUCCUGUACUUGGUGUUACUGCGAAGGGGGGACGGAGAAGGCUAUGUUGGCCGGGCGACGGUUGUCCCGGUUUAAGCGUGUAGGCUGGUUUUCCAGGCAAAUCCGGAAAAUCAAGGCCGAGGCGUGAUGACGAGGCACUACGGUGCUGAAGCAACAAAUGCCCUGCUUCCAGGAAAGCCUCUAAGCAUCAGGUAACAUCAAAUCGUACCCCAAACCGACACAGGUGGUCAGGUAGAGAAUACCAAGGCGCUUGAGAGAACUCGGGUGAAGGAACUAGGCAAAAUGGUGCCGUAACUUCGGGAGAAGGCACGCUGAUACGUAGGUGAAGCGACUUGCUCGUGGAGCUGAAAUCAGUCGAAGAUACCAGCUGGCUGCAACUGUUUAUUAAAAACACAGCACUGUGCAAACACGAAAGUGGACGUAUACGGUGUGACGCCUGCCCGGUGCCGGAAGGUUAAUUGAUGGGGUUAGCGCAAGCGAAGCUCUUGAUCGAAGCCCCGGUAAACGGCGGCCGUAACUAUAACGGUCCUAAGGUAGCGAAAUUCCUUGUCGGGUAAGUUCCGACCUGCACGAAUGGCGUAAUGAUGGCCAGGCUGUCUCCACCCGAGACUCAGUGAAAUUGAACUCGCUGUGAAGAUGCAGUGUACCCGCGGCAAGACGGAAAGACCCCGUGAACCUUUACUAUAGCUUGACACUGAACAUUGAGCCUUGAUGUGUAGGAUAGGUGGGAGGCUUUGAAGUGUGGACGCCAGUCUGCAUGGAGCCGACCUUGAAAUACCACCCUUUAAUGUUUGAUGUUCUAACGUGGACCCGUGAUCCGGGUUGCGGACAGUGUCUGGUGGGUAGUUUGACUGGGGCGGUCUCCUCCUAAAGAGUAACGGAGGAGCACGAAGGUUGGCUAAUCCUGGUCGGACAUCAGGAGGUUAGUGCAAUGGCAUAAGCCAGCUUGACUGCGAGCGUGACGGCGCGAGCAGGUGCGAAAGCAGGUCAUAGUGAUCCGGUGGUUCUGAAUGGAAGGGCCAUCGCUCAACGGAUAAAAGGUACUCCGGGGAUAACAGGCUGAUACCGCCCAAGAGUUCAUAUCGACGGCGGUGUUUGGCACCUCGAUGUCGGCUCAUCACAUCCUGGGGCUGAAGUAGGUCCCAAGGGUAUGGCUGUUCGCCAUUUAAAGUGGUACGCGAGCUGGGUUUAGAACGUCGUGAGACAGUUCGGUCCCUAUCUGCCGUGGGCGCUGGAGAACUGAGGGGGGCUGCUCCUAGUACGAGAGGACCGGAGUGGACGCAUCACUGGUGUUCGGGUUGUCAUGCCAAUGGCACUGCCCGGUAGCUAAAUGCGGAAGAGAUAAGUGCUGAAAGCAUCUAAGCACGAAACUUGCCCCGAGAUGAGUUCUCCCUGACCCUUUAAGGGUCCUGAAGGAACGUUGAAGACGACGACGUUGAUAGGCCGGGUGUGUAAGCGCAGCGAUGCGUUGAGCUAACCGGUACUAAUGAACCGUGAGGCUUAACCUU
rnacentral:rRNA from 1 species